AGGCAACACAGGGUGGAAAUUCCAGACACCUUUUGGGUGGAGUCUCACUCCUUCUCUAGUCUUGAGCUGGAAGCUGGAUGGUGUUUUGUUUGCUGUGAUUUACUGUGGGAAGCAUUGGAAAUGUGAGUCACAGAAUUCUUGAAAAAAUAUCUGGAGGCUGUCUUCUGGGUCAACUGAGACAUGUUUGUAAUUCCAAAGAGCAAACAACCUGUGAACUGCAUUGAUUUUUUGAAUGGCUAUUGCUAAAGGCAUUGUUUGAGAAAGGACCUAUUGAACAGAGACCACAAACUGUGGGUUCACUUUCAUCAAAGCCCACUGUGGUAGAGUUUCCUGUCAGCACCCACCCUGCUUCAACUAUAAAAGAAACCUUUGAGCCUGAUCCUUUUAUCUCAGGUCUGCUUCAACUUUAACAGGGAAGGUUUAAGCCAUAGGACUGAGGUCUCCAGGUGGAUACCUGGAUUAUCCUGGAACUCUGCUGGAGAAAUUCCAACAGAUUGUACACCUGAACUGUCUAUUGGACUAUAACUCAUUGAAUUGAUUCCAGAGAGACUUUUACACACCAGCAGCUACAACAUCACUGCUGUGAUCCUGAUCUAUGAACAUUGAAAGUUAUUUGUAUGUAUAUUGAUCUUUUAACCAUUUUAGCUCUCUUCUUUCUUUUU